UCGAAUGGUGUACGUAAGUUAUCCUGGAGCGGUGAGUAAAGCAAAUGUAGGAAUAAGUAACGAUAAGGAGGGUUAGAUUCCCUCCCGCUGUAAGACCAAGGUUUCCCGGGCAAUGCCAAUCAGCCCGGGGUCAGUCGGGUCCUAAGUCUAAGCCGAACGGCGAUGGCGAUGGCAGAGACGGUUAAUAUUCCGUCACUGCCGCAUGGGGCGACGUGGAGACGGAGCAGUGAAACCACCGCGGGGCGACGGAAGUCCCCGUUGAAGAGUGUAGGUGUUGAGGAUGGCAGGCAAAUCCACCGUCCGAGCUGAACUUGAUAGUAUGGAGUCUUCUUCGGAAGAAUCCAAUAGUGUGGGUAAUCAUACUCCCGAGAAAAUCCGCUAAGCUUAACCCAUGCGGCACCCGUACCGCAAACGGACACACGUGGUCGGGUAGAACAUACUGAGGCGUUGAGAGAUUCAUGGUUAAGGAACUAGGCAAAUUGACCCUGUAACUUCGGGAUAAAGGGUCCUCGUGAAUAGCGAGGCGCAGAGAAUAGGUCCAGGCAACUGUUUAACAAAAACACAGGGCUGUGCAAACUCGAAAGAUGACGUAUACAGCCUGACACCUGCCCGGUGCCGGAAGGUUAAGAGGAGAUGUCACUAGCAAUAGGAAGCAUUGAAUUGAAGCCCCGGUAAACGGCGGCCGUAACGAUAACGGUCCUAAGGUAGCGAAAUUCCUUGUCGGGUAAGUUCCGACCUGCACGAAUGGUGUAAUGAUCCGGACGCUGUCUCAACCAUGAGCUCAGUGAAAUUGUAGUAUCGGUGAAGAUGCCGAUUACCCGCGAUGGGACGAAAAGACCCCGUGAACCUUUACUACAGCUUAGCAUUGACCUUGGUCAUCCGAUGUGUAGGAUAGGCCGGAGGCUUCGAAGCGGGAGCGCCAGCUUUCGUGGAGCCAUCCUUGAAAUACGGCCCUUUGGCUGUCUGAGGUCUAACGCGUGAAACGCGGACACUGCUUGGUGGGUAGUUUGACUGGGGUGGUCGCCUCCAAAAGCGAAACGGAGGCUUCCAAAGGUGCCCUCGGGUCGAUUGGUAACCGACCUCAAAGAGUGCAAUGGCAUAAGGGCGCUUGACUGGGAGGCAGACAUGCCGAGCAGGCAGGAAACUGGGGCAUAGUGAUCCGGCGGAUGUGUAUUGAAACUCCGUCGCUCAAAGGAUAAAAGGUACUCCGGGGAUAACAGGCUGAUCCCCCCCAAGAGCUCAUAUCGACGGGGUGGUUUGGCACCUCGAUGUCGGCUCGUCACAUCCUGGGGCUGGAGAAGGUCCCAAGGGUUGGGCUGUUCGCCCAUUAAAGUGGCACGCGAGCUGGGUUCAGAACGUCGUGAGACAGUUCGGUCUCUAUCUAUCGUGGGCGUGGGAGUUUUGAGUGGUGCCGUCACUAGUACGAGAGGACCGUGAUGGACAGACCUCCGGUUUACCAGUUGUGCCGCCAGGCGCACCGCUGGGUAUCUGAGUCUGGAUUGGAUAAGCGCUGAAAGCAUCUAAGUGCGAAGCCAGCCGCAAGAUGAGAACUCCAUUGAGGGUCGUCAGAGACGAUGACGUUGAUAGGAUGCAGGUGUAAAGACAGCGAUGUCAAAGCCGAGCAUUACUAAUUGCCC
rnacentral:rRNA from 1 species